UAAAAAUCAAUUAACCGGUUGAACCUACCAGUGGUGAUACACUUGAGCAAAAGAUUGUAGCCAUGCAAAUAUAAGAGAAUGUGCAACUUUAUUUUGUGAUUUUUCUGUGUAUGGCUCAGCUAAAGAGUUUUGACCUACCUGUUGUUAUUGUCGGACAUCAAAUGUAAAUCUGAUGCUAAUACGUAUAUGAUACAAUGAAAUCGUGGCCAGAAAUAUGUGUUUCCAAUUUGGUCAACAGUAAAGUGUACUACGGUGCAAUCUGAAUGUUAUUUUCGAGGGGAAACAUACUUUUUAACUCAUUUAUCAAGUUGCGUUGGUAUAUUAUGUGUUUACAAAGCUUUUAACGAAUUUCGGAUAAUGACUGGUUUGGUUCCGGAGAAGAAGCCUCAGAUAUUGCUACUACUCUUAAGGGAGGCAGCAGGCGCGAAAUUUACCCACUCUUAUGUAUAAGGAGGUAGUGAAAACUUGUAUGUAUUUUGAAUGAUUGAAAUGGUUUUUAUGCGAAAGAUUAAUUGAGAAGCGAUGUAAGGGCAAGUCUGGUGCCAGCAGCCGCGGUAAUUCCAGCUUAUAAUGUGUCUGUCCGUAUUGUUACUGUUAAAGAGCUCGUCGUUGGAUCGAAUUGAAUGUUUUGCAAUGCAAGAUGUAUGAUACUUUGUAUCUGUGUAAAGUUUAGUGUGCUUAAUGAUUUGCUAUAUGCAAUUAUGCAAUGUCACAGGAUUUAUUUCUAUUUUUUAUGUACUCAUGGUUGCCUCCAAAGGAUGCUUAUAUACGAAAGAGAAAGGUGAAAUUUAAUGAUCAAAUGAAGAUGGUCCGAAGCGAAAGCGAUUAUCAAGAAAGUUUACCUCAAUAAUGAACGAAAGUAGAAUGAUCAAAGUCGAUUAGAUACCGCUGUAGUUUGUACUGUUAUCAAUGCUAUUGAGCAACUUGCAAGUAGAUGUAAUCGAAAGUGAGAAGCUAGCUGGAAACGGUGAAUGUUUUUGUUCUGGGGGGAGUACUGUCUCAAGAUUGAAACUUAAAGGUAUUGACGGAAUCGCACUACCAGAAAUGGAGAAUGCGGCUUAAUUUGACUCAACACAGAUGAACUUACUCGGGCUAGACGUUUACAUGAAAGUCCCUUUAUAGAUUAUGCUUGAUUUUAUGAGUGGUGGUGCAUGGCCGUUGUUAGUCCGUGAAGUGAUUUGUCUUGUUUAUUCCGAUAACGAACGUGGUGCUUUAUUUUUACGCGUGAGACGUUAUGUUUUAUUGUUAAAGAUACUUUUGAAAGAUGAUAAUUGAAUGUGGGAGCGUAAUAACAGGUCUGUGAUGCUCUUUGAUAUCCGAGGCUGCACGCGUGCUACUGUGCUUCAUGCAAAAGGAGCCUUAUUGCUUAAAGGCAAUAAUUUAACAAAAUGUGUUGUGAGAAAGGAAUCAGGAAUCGAAUUGGUGCUUGUGAACAUGGAAUUUCUAGUAUACUUAUGUCAAUAACAUGAACUGAAUAUGUCCCUGCGAUUUGUACACACCGCCCGUCGCUACCCAGAACUGGGUUGUAUUGAGAAAGUAAUGAAUAGUGAGUAAUGUAAUUGGUUAUGCCUGGACUGGGUAAAAGUCGUAACAAGGUACUGGUAGGUGAACCUGCUGGUGGAUCAUGAUAAAUGGAGACAUGCUUGAUGUUUCAUUAAAAAAAUGCUUGUUUUUUUGCUAUGUGUUGUCACAUUGCCAGGAAUCUGGUGGUAUUAGCGUGUGCACCGGGGGCGGUGCCACACGAUGGAUGGAUCAUGUUGUUGUUGUUGUUGUUGUUGUUGUUGUUGUUGCCGUGAUAGCCGCACUGCUUCUGAUGCUGCAUAGGGGCAGCAUUAGUGAAUGCUACAACAAGCCUAUCCUUCAAUCUGUAAAGGUCGCUUGUUUAUUGAAUGGAAAUAACUACGAAAGCAAAUGUGGAUUGCUAGUAUUGCUGAACGAGGAAGGACAAAGCAAGUGGUGGAAUGUGUGGUUUUGCGUUUUGAGCAUACAUUAUCCGAAUAUUUGAUAUUUGAUUAUAUAACGGCUUUUUGAGGUGUGCUUGAAAUUGUUGGUUCUUUACGCGUUGCAUCUGUCGCGAGUGUGUUGAGGAGGGGCAUAUCGCUGAAGCAUUAAAAGAAAGUAAUGUCUCAAGGCGAGGCGUUCUUUUUUUUUGUGUAUCAUGCGUAUCCUUUCUUCACGCACGUCGUUAUGUGCGUGCGUGCGUGCGUGCAUGCAUGAAUUCAUGUAUGUUGAGAGAUGAAAAAAGCAAACGGUGCUUGUUUACCUACUUUUCUCUUUUUUGAGAGAAAAAGAAAGAAAGACAGCAACGUAACAUGUGAGAAAUGUGUUGUUUGUUUGAGGUAAUAAUGUUUGAAAUGAUUGGAUAUGUUGUGCAGAUAGUUGUGUUGACCUGCUUAACUUAAGCAUAUUAAUAGGCGGAGGAGUGNGAUUGAAUAAAGUCGCCGUUACUAACUGCGAGUGACAGUGGUAUGGUUGGUGUACUAAUAAAAGUUUGUGUGGU
rnacentral:rRNA from 1 species